CCUACGGGUGGCAGCAGUGGGGAAUAUUGGACAAUGGGGGCAACCCUGAUCCAGCCAUGCCGCGUGUGUGAAGAAGGCCCUCGGGUUGUAAAGCACUUUCAGUGAGGAAGAACGCCUGGUGGUUAAUACCCAUCAGGAAAGACAUCACUCACAGAAGAAGCACCGGCUAACUCCGUGCCAGCAGCCGCGGUAAUACGGAGGGUGCGAGCGUUAAUCGGAAUUACUGGGCGUAAAGCGCGCGUAGGUGGCUUGAUAAGCCGGUUGUGAAAGCCCCGGGCUCAACCUGGGAACGGCAUCCGGAACUGUCAAGCUAGAGUGCAGGAGAGGAAGGUAGAAUUCCAGGUGUAGCGGUGAAAUGCGUAGAGAUCGGGAGGAAUACCAGUGGCGAAGGCGGCCUUCUGGACUGACACUGACACUGAGGUGCGAAAGCGUGGGUAGCAAACAGGAUUAGAUACCCGGGUAGUC
rnacentral:rRNA from 1 species